UACGGAGGGUGCAAGCGUUAAUCGGAAUUACUGGGCGUAAAGCGCACGCAGGCGGUUUGUUAAGUCAGAUGUGAAAUCCCCGGGCGUCAACCUGGGAACGUGCAUCUGAUACCGGCAAGCUUGAGUCUCGUAGAGGGGGUAGGAAUCCAGGUGUAGCGGUGAAAUGCGUAGAGAUCUGGAGGAAUACCGGUGGCGAGGGCGGCCCCUCGGAC
rnacentral:rRNA from 1 species